rnacentral:rRNA from 1 species
UUGGUGGGGUAAUGGCCUACCAAGGCGACGACGGGUAGCCGGCCUGAGAGGGCGACCGGCCACACUGGGACUGAGACACGGCCCAGACUCCUACGGGAGGCAGCAGUGGGGAAUAUUGCACAAUGGGCGGAAGCCUGAUGCAGCGGCGCCGCGUGAGGGAUGACGGCCUUCGGGUUGUAAACCUCUUUCAGCAGGGAAGAAGCGAAAGUGACGGUACCUGCAGAAGAAGCGCCGGCUAACUACGUGCCAGCAGCCGCGGUAAUACGUAGGGUGCAAGCGUUGUCCGGAAUUAUUGGGCGUAAAGAGCUCGUAGGUGGCGGGUCACGUCGGGUGUGAAAGCCCGGGGCUUAACCCCGGGUCUGCAUUCGAUACGGGCUUGCUAGGGUCCGGCAGGGGAGACUGGAAUUCCUGGUGUAGCGGUGAAAUGCGUAGAUAUCAGGAGGAACACCGGUGGCGAAGGCGGGUCUCUGGGCCGGUACCGACGCUGAGGGGCGAAAGCGUGGGGAGCGAACAGGAUUAGAUACCCUGGUAGUCCACGCCGUAAACGUUGGGCGCUAGGUGUGGGGAGCAUUCCACGUUCUCUGUGCCGUAGCUAACGCAUUAAGCGCCCCGCCUGGGGAGUACGG